rnacentral:rRNA from 1 species
GACGAACGCUGGCGGCGUGCUUAACACAUGCAAGUCGAACGGAAAGGCCCUGCUUGCGGGGUGUUCUCGUGGCGAACGGGUGUGUAACACGUGGGUGAUCUGCGCUGCACAUCGGGGUAUGCUUGGGAGACUGGGGCUCAUACCGGAUAUGAGCCAUCCUGCUUCUGGGGGUUGGAAGGAUAUUUGGGGGUAGGGUGAGUUCGCGCCCUAUCUGCUUGUUGGUGGGGUAAUGACUUACCAAGGCGGGGAGGGGUAGCCGGCCUGAGAGGGUGUACGGCCACACUUGGAGUGAGAGACGGCGCAGAGUCCCACGGGGGGGAGAAGUGGGGAAUAUUGCACAAUGGGGGCAAGCCUGAUGCAGAGACGCCGCGUGGGGGGUGAAGGCGUUCGGGGUGUAAACUCCGUUCGCGAGGGACGAAGCUUUGGUGUGACGGUACCUAGAUAAGAAGCACCGGCUAACUACGUG